rnacentral:lncRNA from 1 species
AUGGACAUGACCUGGCAUGACAACCCCCUGGCCCGCGCCCUCCCAGGGCUCCCUGACCCCGAAGAGGAGGGUCCCCCGCCAGCCUGCGCAUGGCCUGGAUGCGCUGGGGCUAGAGCUGUGCCGGUGCAGGGAGGCGCACGUGGAACACGGGGCCCAGACGACUCGGCAGCGGACAGAGGGAGGCACCUUAGGAACAGGUCUCCCCGUGAACGUCGACGCCUCUUCAGAGCUUCUCUGGUCUCUGCCAGUCUUGAAAAGCACAAGCAGGUGAACACAAUGGGAAGAGGCACCGGGGCUGCGGGGGAUGCGGGGAGCCUGGGUGCAGCUGCCCACCCUGGGGUGCACACACAGCAGUCGGGGCGCUGGGUGGAGCGGGAACUGCUGGGGCGUGACCCGCCGCGGCUGCACCCGUGUCCCCGUCCCUUCCUCUCAGCCGCAUGGGGGGCUCUGGGUCCUCGCCCGCCAACGCUUGUGAUUUUCUUGCUUCCAGCAGGGCCGCCUGUGAUUUGCGUUCCCUGAUGGCUCACGACGGCACCUCUUCAUGGUUAGUGCCCCCCGUGCAUGUCUUCUUUGGACAAGUGUCGCAUUCGGGUCCUUUGUCUGUUUUUAAUUGGAUUAUUUGUCCGUGUUUUAAAUCCAGUUGUAAGUGUUUUUUAUAUUUUCUAGAUGUAAGGCCCUCCUGGGACACGUGAUGUACCCGUGCUUUCUCCCGGCCUGCGGGCCAUUUCCUCACUUCCUCCUUGCAGUUCUUUGAAGCACCAGCUGUUUAAUCCUGAUGAAGUUCUGUUUAGAUAUUGAUUGUUGCUCAUGCUUUUGCUGUCGUAUAUAAGAAACCACUGCCUGAGCCAAAGUCGUCAAGGUGACACUACCUGGUUUUUGUUUGAAAUCAUUUUGUCAAAAAAAAAAAAAAAAAGAAAUCAUUUUGUCAUUUCGAAAAGUGUUUGCGGUACGGGCGCCUGGCUGGGUGGGUUGGGCGGAGCACGCGACUUCUGAUCGCAGGGUUGCGAGUUCGAGCCCCAUGUCGGGUGUAGAGAAUACCACUAUUAUUAAAAAUAAAACCUUAAAGGGGCACCUGGGGGGCUCAGUGGUUAAGCGUCUGCCUUGGGCUCAGGGCGUGACCCCAGAGUCCCCAGACCGAGUCCCGCAUCGGGCUCCCUGCAUGGAGCCUGCUUCUCCCUCUGCCUGUGUCUCUGCCUCUCUCUGUGUGUCUCUUAUGAAUAUAUAAAUAAAAUCUUUAAAAAGAUAAUAAAAUAAAAUCUUAAAAAAUAAAAAAAUAAGUAAAAUCUUAAAAAAUAAAAAAAUAAAAUGUAUUUGUUGUAAAACAUAGGGACCUCACGGUAGGUUUUCCAGGCAAAAUGCGGCACAGCCAGUUAAUCUGAAUUUCAGAUAAACGGCGAAUGCUUUUCCUGGCAUAACUGCGUCCAGAUACUGCCCGGGAUCCUUGUACCAGGAAAUUACUCAUUCUCCAUCUGCAAUUCAAACUUAACUGCCAUCCAGGUAUUUUUAUUUGCUAAAUCCGCCAGCCCGCCCCAGCCCAGCGCGACGUCCCACCUGCUCACAGGGAUCCCUAACCCCCUCCCUUAAUGCUUUUUUCCCCUUCCGUACUGGGAUAAAACACACACGAUAUAAAGCGAGCUGUCAACCACCUGGGAGGAUUCCCCCCCAGUUCUGACGUCACAGUCUGAGGCUGCAGAAAGGGAGGAGGGGCCCAGCGCAGGCCACGCCCCCGUUUCCUAGCAACGCAGCCACGCCCCCAGGCAGCGAGGCGGGGCCUCCGGGGUCACGUGGUGCGUCCGCCCGCGCCCGCUCGGGCCAGCGCGUGUAUACGUGCUUCCGCGCGCGUGCGCAGGAGGGCCGACCGGCGUGCCGUGCGCGUCCCCGCCCCGCGACGUCGCCCUGCGCGCGCGCGCCCGGGCCCCCCUCAGGUUCUUAUAGCGCCGCGGGCGGCGGUUGGCGGCGGGGUCGGCACGGACGGCGGCGGCAUGGCGGCUCGGGGGCUCGUGGUGCUGGCGCUGGCCCUGCUGGGCGCCGGGGGCGGCUCCGGGGCAGGUGAGCGUCGGGACGGACGCGGGCGGGGGCGGAGCGGGAGGCGCGGGGAGGGCGCGGGGGCUUCUGGGGGUCGGCGCGGGGGCUCCUGGGGGUCGGCGCGGUGGUUCCUGGGGGUCGGG